rnacentral:pre_miRNA from 1 species
UUUUUAGUAUAAGUAUGUCCCAUACAAUUUUGGGAGACAUACUUAUACUAAAA